GAUGAACGCUGGCGGCGUGCCUAAUACAUGCAAGUCGAGCGAACAGACGAGGAGCUUGCUCCUCUGACGUUAGCGGCGGACGGGUGAGUAACACGUGGAUAACCUACCUAUAAGACUGGGAUAACUUCGGGAAACCGGAGCUAAUACCGGAUAAUAUAUUGAACCGCAUGGUUCAAUAGUGAAAGACGGUUUUGCUGUCACUUAUAGAUGGAUCCGCGCCGCAUUAGCUAGUUGGUAAGGUAACGGCUUACCAAGGCAACGAUGCGUAGCCGACCUGAGAGAGUGAUCGGCCACACUGGAACUGAGACACGGUCCAGGCUCCUGCGGGAGGCAGCAGUAGGGAAUCUUCCGCAAUGGGCGAAAGCCUGACGGAGCAACGCCGCGUGAGUGAUGAAGGUCUUCGGAUCGUAAAACUCUGUUAUUAGGGAAGAACAAAUGUGUAAGUAACUAUGCACGUCUUGACGGUACCUAAUCAGAAAGCCACGGCUAACUACGUG
rnacentral:rRNA from 1 species